rnacentral:lncRNA from 1 species
CAGUAAUUAGAACAUAGGAGUAUAUUGUCAUUGGCAGCUACUAUAAAAAGCUGAGGCCGACUGCUUCUCGACACUGUAGAUCUAACCUUCCCAGCAUUCGCACCAUGGCUCCCCAGAAGGUUCUCUUCGCCCUCGUGAUGGUCUUCCUCUUGGCGUUCGCACACGGAGCCCCUGAGGCCGAACCGGGAUACCGAAGCUACGGCCAUGGCCACGGCGGAGGAUACGGACACAGGAGUUACGGAUACGGACACGGCGGCGGAUACGGUCAUAGGAGCUACGGUUAUGGACACAGGAGCUAUGGAUAUGGAUAUGGUUAUCACUAGCAGGCGACAGUUAUGCUCUCCCUCGAUCUUGGUCAACAACACUGAUCUAAAAAUAAAAACUUUCAAUGUAAUGAAA